rnacentral:lncRNA from 1 species
AUGCGCCCUGCCUGGCCCCCACCUGGUCCUCUUUCCUUUUCAGGUGGAGGAGAUGCCGCUGUCCCGUCGGUCUGGGGACAGCCCAGCUCCCCGGAUCCCGGGCUGGAGAGACGCGUCGCGGCCCCGGGGCCUGGUGGCACGAGCAGGAAGGAGGACCCGGCGGCGGGCUCUGCCUGGGCUUGCCUGGGCUUGUUCCGAGCCGGGCUGCUUCUCGGUGACCACGCAGAUCGGGGGCAUUUGGAGAUUUUGCGGGAGUCCUGCAGCCAAGCUCCGGGGCAGGAGAGGCCUGGAAGCCUGCACUACCUGCUCGCCCCGUCCCAGCAUGCACCCAGGGUGCUGGGGAGAGGCAGGACAGGCCUGUCCCCCGAGUCCCCUCCGGAUGCCGUGGACCGGCCAGCUGUGAGUGUUUCUUUGGCAGUGUCUUAGCUGGUUGUUGUGAGCAAUAGUAAGGAAGCAAUCAGCAAGUAUACUGCCCUAGAAGUGCUGCACGUUGUGGGGCCCAAGAGGGAAGAUGAAGCGAGAGAUGCCCAGACCAGUGGGAGACGCCAGGACUUCGGAAGCUCUUCUGCGCCACGGUGGGUGGUGAGGGCGGCUGGGAAAGUGAGCUCCAGGGCCCCAGGAGCAGCCUGCUCGUGGGUGCGGAAGGAAAAAGGCACAGGGGCUUGGUGUGGGCGGCUUUUGGCUGGGAGAAGUUUGCACGUAGGGAGAAUAGUAGCCAGUGUUUGCAGAGCACUUACUAUGCAGGAAGGCCUGUCCUAAGUAUUGUAAGUGUAUUACAUCAUGUACAAGUGUCUGUGAUUAACCCCGUCUUGCAGAGAAGGAAACAAAAGUACAAACAGAAAAUGUAACUAAGCAUGCAAUUAAUAAAAAGGGACCAGGUUUUGAACGCGAGCAAUCUGGCUCAAGAAUCUGCGCCCAACCACCGGCUCCUGUUCUUAGAGAUGAACGUGGAGUCCUGGAGACUGCUCAACAUUGUGACUUGACUGUGAGCGUACGCGCUCCCUGUCCCCAGGAGACAGAUUUCCAGUGCAAUCAUAGAAAGUGCCUGUGUGGGCUUCGGGAGAUGUGUCUGCCUUGGGGAGAAUUUUCCUUUUCAGCUAGAGCCAGGCCCAGGAUGUUGACGUCAGUGAGACGCUGGUGACGUUCUCUGCUCCAGUGGCUGAUGAGAAAAGUUCCUCCAAGCCAGCUCAGUUGAGAAGAAUUAAGUUCUCUGGGUCCCACUGGCUUCACCUACAGAUGCCAACUUUGAGGCCAGUGAACUGUGAGGCCAGCUGGGCUGAUUGCCAUGGCAACAGGAAUUGGACCAAAGUCACCGGAGGAUGGAGAGGGAAGACACAGUGGUGGCUUCCCCAGGUCUUGGACCACAAGGCACAGCCGUGGCCUCCAGGAACCCUGAGAUAACCCGUUAGUGGGUCCUGCACUCCAACAGAGCUCAUGCAAUCAGCCUCUGGUCCUCACCCUCCUCCCAUUGGUGUCGUUGUGCUCUCUAACAUUGACAUUGAGCAGUGAGUGCUCCAGAUCUUGUUCCACUGAUUUUUUCCACUGUUCUCCAGUCUAGCACUUUCUGAAAUUCAUCCAAGCCUAAGAGGUGACGCCAAACGUAAGUGUCUUACACCUCGGACCCCAUGGACUAAGACAAGCCUCUGGGGUCCAUGUGGCACCAAGGAUGGGGCCUUCUAGUACCUUUCACACAGGCCAGGGACAGCACCUGCUGCGACCCCCACCCCCAGCCUCUGCUGCUUCUCCCGUUGCCCUUCCAGCCACUGCCCUGGGCACCUCCCCUGCUCCCGCCUCCCUGCCUGGGCCCAUCUUUCUUUGCACCUCACCAAUUGCGGGGCUUCCUAGUGCUGGAGGGGAAGGGAGCCUGCUUCCAUUCUCACCACUCUGAAAGAAGACCCUGCAGAGAGGUUUUCUGGAAUUUGGAGCCUAACCUUGGCCUUGACACAGUCCAGAUGAGAAGGCCGUCCCCCAGUUAAGCCAGCCCUCCCUCCCUCUCAAUGCUGGAGAGGAAACCAGGCAGCUGGUUGCUUCAGCAAACCCCCUCCCUAUGGGAAUUGUCCUUUUCUUCCUCAAAUAGACUGGAGUGCAGAGGACUUGCUUCAGAGAGAGCCCCUUUGUAACGCACAUUGCACGGGCCGUGCCCCAUGCCCACUCUGCCACAAACUCCCCUCAGCUGCCCAGCCCCGUGGAGCCAGGCGUGGGCUGAAGUGGGGCCAAUGAAAUGCCUGGAAUGCCAGCCGCAGUGACAGGCCAGCACUCAGAUGCCUCUCGGGAGUUCUGACCGAAGCAGCACUGAGGACUGCUUCAGAGCAGAAGUCUACGCCAUUUUCCCCAGUUCUAGGCAGAAGUAAAGAAUGUCUCUACCUUCUCCCAACCAGCAAUUGAUUCAGAGUCCUGAGCUUUUAAAUUAAAGGGACCCCUCUGUUGCUUUAUGCAGUAGCCAGCUUAUUCAUUUGAGUUCAGGUGAAAUCAUUUUCAAGUAACCUCUUCCUAUCCAGCUUUACUUUUAGUUAUGCUGACAUAAAAACAAUAAAAAUUGUCCUCCUCAGAGUUCACCUGUAAAAGUUCCUGGAUAAUUAGUAAGGAAACAGAAAGAGCAGAUAGUUGUUGCUUCAGAUAAAAGUGAUGUCUGGGUUGGGCACGGUGGCGCAUGCCUGUAAUCCCAGCACUUGGGGAGGCCCAGGUGGAUGGAUCCCUUGAGCUCAGGAGUUUCAGACCAGCCUGGGCAACAUCUCUACAAAAAAUACAAAAAUUAGCCAGGCAUAGUGGCAGGACUGUAGUCCCAGCUACUCAGGAGGCUGAGGUCAGGGGAUGGCUUGAGCCCAGGAGGCACAGAUUGAAGUGAGCUGAGAUUGCGCCACUGUAUUCCAGCCUAGGUGACAGAGCCAGACCCUGUCUCAAAUUAAAAAAAACUCUUUGUGGUCAUUUAAUUUACUUCUGCAUUCUUUUUUUUUUUUUUUUGAAAUGGGCAGUGGUACCAUCUCAGCUCACUGCAACCUCUGCCUUGGGGGUUCAAGUGAUUCUCCUGCCUCAGCCUCCCGAGUAGCUGGGAUUACAGGCACCCGCCACCACGCCCAGCUAAUUUUUGUAUUUUUAGUAGAGACGGGGCUUUGCCAUGUUGACCAGGCUGGACUCAAACUCCUGACCUCAGGUGAUCCGCCCACCUCGGCCUCCCAAAGCACUGGGAUUACAGGAAUGAGCCACUGCACUCGGCCUACUUCUGCAUUCCUUAGAGUACAUCCUAGCUAGGAUAUAUUCACUUGUCUUUAGAGCUAACAGCAGAAGAAAGGUACCUAGAUGCUUAUCUAGCUCUUUAUCUUUCUAGAAAUUCUAGAAGAUGAGAGGGGCAGUGGUGGCUCCAAGGGAGUGAUUUUAGGAUGGACUGGGACAGAGAGGGGCUGCUUACACAUACUCACACAGAGGCCAUUAAUUUAGGGAGUUCAAGGUCCAGGAGGUUGACGGCAUCUAGGCCUGUGGCAGAGUGCACUCCUGCUUUGGGGAAUGUAUGGGCAGCUUCUUGCCUGUAGUUGGAGGGUUAGAGAGAGGGAUCAAUAAUUUCAUGGUUGGACUUGAGUUUGGAGCGAGUGGAGUUAGAUACAAAUUCUAUGUUUUUGGAGAAAGUAUUUGAUCUUCUUGGCUGUGAGGCAAAGCGAGGUUUAAAAAUAUUUUUCACUUAAAAAUAUAUAUAUAUGCAUGUAUAUUUAAUACUGUCUAUGGAUUGUGCCAAUAUCUAUUUCAUGGUUUUGAUAUUGUGUAGUUAUACAAGGAGUUACCACUGAACGAAACUGGGGGAAGGGUACACAGAAUCUCUGUACUUUUUUUGUUGUUGUUGCAAUUUCCUGUAAAUCUAUGAUUAUUUUAAAAUAAAAAAGUUAAAGCAUACGUAUUUACAUUUGAUUAAAUGCAGUGUGAUAUCCUGGGUUGGAUUUUGGAACAAAACAAGGCAUGAGUGAAAAAACUGGUAAAAUCCAAAAAAGCCUUUAGUUAAAAGUAAUACCAGUGUUAAUUUCUUAGUUUUGACAAAUGUGCCAUGGCUGUGUAAGAUGCAAAUGUUAGAGGAAACUGGGCGAAGAAUUUGAGGGAACUCUCUGUACUAUUCUUUGCAGCUUUUCUGUAAAUCUACAAUUAUUCCAAAAUAAAAGUCUAUUAAAAAUGUAAG